CUACACAUACUGAUAUAAACAUUCCUGUAAAGUUUCAUGACUCUAGGUCAAAUUCUUUUUGAGUUACAUGCAACACAAGUUGAAAAUUACAAAAUUUUACUAAGUCAAGGGCAAUAACUCUAAAAUACUAAAAAUAUCCAAACAAAAAUACCCAGGUGCACAACUUCACAUGCUGAUCAACAUUCCCAUAAAGUUUUGUUGAAUUCCAGCCAUCAGUUGCAGAGAACUACUCCAGAAACGAAAUUCUAAGUCAAGGGCAAUAACUCUAAAAAUACUAAAAAUAUCCAGACGAAAAUACCCAGGUGCACAACUUCACAUGCUGAUCAACAUUCCCAUAAAGUUUCGUUGAAUUCCAGCCAUUAGUUGCAGAGAACUACUCCGGAAACGAAAUUCGGACGGACGGAUGGACGGACGGACGGACAGAAGGACGGACGGACAAAAAUACCCAGGUGCACAACUUCACAUGCUGAUCAACAUUCCCAUAAAGUUUCGUUGAAUUCCAGCCAUCAGUUGCAGAGAACUACUCCGGAAACGAAAUUCUAAGUCAAGGGCAAUAACUCUAAAAAUACUAAAAAUAUCCAGACGAAAAUACCCAGGUGCACAACUUCACAUGCUGAUCAACAUUCACAUAAAGUUUCGUUGAAUUCCAGCCAUUAGUUGCAGAGAACUACUCCGGAAACGAAAUUCGGAC